UACGGAGGGUGCAAGCGUUAUCCGGAUUUACUGGGUUUAAAGGGUGUGUAGGCGGGCUUUUAAGUCAGUGGUGAAAUCUCCGAGCUUAACUUGGAAACUGCCAUUGAUACUAUUAGUCUUGAAUUCUGUUGAGGUGGGCGGAAUAAGUCAUGUAGCGGUGAAAUGCAUAGAUAUGACUUAGAACACCAAUUGCGAAGGCAGCUCGCUAAACAGACAUUGACGCUGAGGCACGAAAGCGUGGGGAUCAAACAGG
rnacentral:rRNA from 1 species